GUUUCUGUAGUGUAGCGGUCAUUAAAUGCGCAUUACGCGCGCAAGGUCCCUGUUCGAUCCUGGAAAGAAGCA
rnacentral:tRNA from 1 species